rnacentral:rRNA from 1 species
CCUACGGGGAGCAGCAGUGAGGAAUAUUGGUCAAUGGACGAGAGUCUGAACCAGCCAAGUAGCGUGAAGGAUGACUGCCCUAUGGGUUGUAAACUUCUUUUAUAUGGGAAUAAAAUGUUCCACGUGUGGGAUUUUGUAUGUACCAUAUGAAUAAGGAUCGGCUAACUCCGUGCCAGCAGCCGCGGUAAUACGGAGGAUCCGAGCGUUAUCCGGAUUUAUUGGGUUUAAAGGGAGCGUAGGUGGAUUGUUAAGUCAGUUGUGAAAGUUUGCGGCUCAACCGUAAAAUUGCAGUUGAAACUGGCAGUCUUGAGUACAGUAGAGGUAGGCGGAAUUCGUGGUGUAGCGGUGAAAUGCUUAGAUAUCACGAAGAACUCCGAUUGCGAAGGCAGUUCACUGGACUGCAACUGACACUGAGGCUCGAAAGUGUGGGUAUCAAACAGGAUUAGAUACCCGUGUAGUC